GGACAGAAAGACCCUAUGAAGCUUUACUGUAGCCUGGAAUUGGGUUCGGGCUUUGCUUGCGCAGGAUAGGUGGGAGGCGAUGAAGUUACCCUUGUGGGGGUAGUGGAGCCAACGGUGAGAUACCACUCUGGCGAAGCUAGAAUUCUAACCGCUUGCCGUUAGCCGGCAGUGGAACAGUUUCAGGUGGGCAGUUUGACUGGGGCGGUCGCCUCCUAAAGUGUAACGGAGGCGCGCAAAGGUUCCCUCAGGCUGGUUGGAAAUCAGCCGUAGAGUGUAAAAGCACAAGGGAGCUUGACUGCAAGACCUACAAGUCGAGCAGGGACGAAAGUCGGCUUUAGUGAUCCGACGGUUCCGAGUGGAAGGGCCGUCGCUCAACGGAUAAAAGUUACUCUAGG
rnacentral:rRNA from 1 species